GCUCUAGGCCUGCCGAGUUGGGACCGGCAGCUUCCUUUGGAAGUCCUUCCCUCCCUUGACGCGGGACUUUAAAAUGUCGGAGCAACGCGGCCCCUGCUGAAUACGUGGUGAUGGCUUACUGUUGACAAGACCAGAGGCAGUAACAAGAAUGUUAUGCUUAUACAAGUGCAACUCUCUUCAAGCCGUAGAAGUUUUCAGAAAAAGAAGCACUGCACCGGAAGAGGUAGUGCUGCUGGAGUAGAAGAUCCAAGACGGUGUAGAUUUCGUCAAACCAGCGCCAGAGGAAACCGUAAUAUGAAGGGUUGGAUUCAGCCAAUACCUAGUACAAAAGACAAUUGAGGGUAAGAGUAAUAAACCCGGAUGUGUCAUGACAUUUUUAUCAAUGUUUGAAACAUUUUGUUUUGGCUACUUUGUGGGGUUUUGUUUUGUUUUGAAAUUGUUGGAAGAUAACACAGCCUUUUUCAAGAUGAGGACUCUGUGGCUUUUGAAUGACAUGCUAGAAGUUGUGUCCCAUUACUGGAUCAAGAUCAAGACAUGAAAAGAGAUGUAGCUAGCACACACACACAAAGACAAAAAUAGAUGUAAAAAUACAGUAACAAUGCGGUUAACAUUAUUGUAAUAUUUCAUAAUUUUCUCUUAAAAUUCAAAAUUUCAUAAUUGUUGGAAAGUUUCAAGGCAGAACUCAUAAAUUGGAAUCCAUGUUGAUGUUAUUAUUUUAA